UACAGGAGGGGGCAAGCGUUGUUCGGAAUUACUGGGCGUAAAGGGCGCGUAGGCGGCCUGCUAAGUCGAACGUGAAAUCCCCGGGCUCAACCCGGGAACUGCGUCCGAUACUGGCAGGCUUGAAUCCGGGAGAGGGAUGUGGAAUUCCAGGUGUAGCGGUGAAAUUCGUAGAUAUUCGCAAGAACACCAGUGGCGAAGGCGGCUCACUGGCCCGGUACUGACGCUGAGGUGCGAAAGCGUGGGGAGCAAACAGG
rnacentral:rRNA from 1 species